rnacentral:rRNA from 1 species
GUGGGGAAUAUUGCACAAUGGGCGAAAGCCUGAUGCAGCGACGCCGCGUGAGGGAUGAAGGCCUUCGGGUUGUAAACCUCUUUCAGUAGGGAAGAAGCGAAAGUGACGGUACCUACAGAAGAAGCACCGGCUAACUACGUGCCAGCAGCCGCGGUAAUACGUAGGGUGCGAGCGUUGUCCGGAAUUAUUGGGCGUAAAGAGCUUGUAGGCGGUCUGUCGCGUCUGCCGUGAAAAUCCGGGGCUCAACCCCGGACUUGCGGUGGGUACGGGCAGACUAGAGUGUGGUAGGGGAGACUGGAAUUCCUGGUGUAGCGGUGAAAUGCGCAGAUAUCAGGAGGAACACCGAUGGCGAAGGCAGGUCUCUGGGCCACUACUGACGCUGAGAAGCGAAAGCGUGGGGAGCGAACAGGAUUAGAUACCCGAGUAGUCC